CUUCACAUGUAUCGAACCGUCCUUUAAGUGUUCCGUUGCUGGCUAUCACUGGUAGGUACCUGGAUUCGCCCGUUCAAUACUUUGCAUGUAUUUUCACAUACCUAAAUCUGUCAUUCCUUUUUAUAACAUAGAAGUAGCUAUUGAGUAAUGUAGAUCUCUCAACAACACGUAUAAUGGUCAAUCAGUCACCUGCUAACUUUCAUAUAUAAAUUUUUUAUACUUGAUUAUAGUUAACUUUGCAUAUAGUAGAACAUUGGACUACGAAAUCUUACCCCUUUGUCAGCACUUGUGCAUUACAUCAAGUCGAAGAAGGUACAGAUUUGGAAGACUUGACAUGUCACCAUUUUAUUUAAAUAGCCGCAAUAGUUUGCAAGUUUAUUUGGCCCCAGAAUAAAUACCUGCUAUGUAUACUAAAGGAAUACCUACAUAUGCUUACUUGCAUAGGUAUACAGUUAGAUAGAAUAAUCAAAUUUCACUAAAACAGAGUCACUCAUAUUGGUAUAAGCUAAUAGUAGGUCUGAUUAUGGAGGUUAACACUUACUAUACUUAGACACCUCAAGAAUGGAGAGCAACACCUUUACAUCACAAGACGAAAUACAUACAAGCAGUAUCAAAUGCAUAGCAUUUUAAAUAUAUAUAAAUAUACAUUGAGUAUAAUAAUGCAACACAAAUUCACCAAUGUAUACAAACAUGACUCAUAUAGUAAACAGAAAGCAAGAAUAUUGAAUAUUGCUAGAUAUGAGGAAUAUAAGCACGUCAUUACAUUGUUGUCAAUCUUAUAUCCAGUGCUACAACAGAAACAAGAAAAAUACGAAAUAUUGUUAAUUCACUGUUUAUAAAUCGACACGUACGAACAAGGAGGUACAACACAGAUCAAUUCUAAAUCUGUAACUGUAGAUUUAAUACAAUGCCUGCUGCUUUCAUGUGCGCGAUGCUCUUCCACCGUGCUGAAAUUCAUGUUCCUACGGGAUCUCAUUUUCCUGUAACUGUUUAAAAGGUUA
rnacentral:lncRNA from 1 species